UCCUCGAUGGUCUAGUGGUCAUGAGUAAGCUCAACCAGUCCAACAAUUCAGUUGGUUCACAUCUAACAUUCAAUCAGUUUCCGCUUGUCAUUCCAAAUAACAAGCGCGGGAGACCAGGGUUCGAUUCCCUGUCGGGGAG